UGGGGAAUAUUGCACAAUGGGCGCAAGCCUGAUGCAGCCAUGCCGCGUGUGUGAAGAAGGCCUUCGGGUUGUAAAGCACUUUCAGCGAGGAGGAAGGUGGUGAGCUUAAUACGCUCAUCAAUUGACGUUACUCGCAGAAGAAGCACCGGCUAACUCCGUGCCAGCAGCCGCGGUAAUACGGAGGGUGCAAGCGUUAAUCGGAAUUACUGGGCGUAAAGCGCACGCAGGCGGUUUGUUAAGUCAGAUGUGAAAUCCCCGGGCUCAACCUGGGAACUGCAUUUGAAACUGGCAAGCUAGAGUCUCGUAGAGGGGGGUAGAAUUCCAGGUGUAGCGGUGAAAUGCGUAGAGAUCUGGAGGAAUACCGGUGGCGAAGGCGGCCCCCUGGACGAAGACUGACGCUCAGGUGCGAAGGCGUGGGGCAGCAAACAGGAUUAGAUACCCUGGUAGUCCACGCUGUAAACGAUGUCGAUUUUGGAGGUUGUGCCCCUUGAGGCGUGGCUUCCGGAGCUAACGCGUUAAAUCGACCGCCUGGGGAGUACGGCCGCAAGGUUAAAACUCAAAUGAAUUG
rnacentral:rRNA from 1 species